rnacentral:rRNA from 1 species
AGAGUUUGAUCCUGGCUCAGGACGAACGCUGGCGGCGUGCCUAACACAUGCAAGUCGAGCGAGUGAAUCUCCUUCGGGAGUGAAGCUAGCGGCGGACGGGUGAGUAACACGUGGGCAACCUGCCUCAUAGAGGGGAAUAGCCUUCCGAAAGGAAGAUUAAUACCGCAUAAGAUUGUAGCUUCGCAUGAAGUAGCAAUUAAAGGAGCAAUCCGCUAUGAGAUGGGCCCGCGGCGCAUUAGCUAGUUGGUGAGGUAACGGCUCACCAAGGCGACGAUGCGUAGCCGACCUGAGAGGGUGAUCGGCCACAUUGGGACUGAGACACGGCCCAGACUCCUACGGGAGGCAGCAGUGGGGAAUAUUGCACAAUGGGGGAAACCCUGAUGCAGCAACGCCGCGUGAGUGAGGAAGGUCUUCGGAUCGUAAAGCUCUGUUGUAAGAGAAAAACGGCACUCAUAGGGAAUGAUGAGUGAGUGAUGGUAUCUUACCAGAAAGUCACGGCUAACUACGUGCCAGCAGCCGCGGUAAUACGUAGGUGGCGAGCGUUAUCCGGAAUGAUUGGGCGUAAAGGGUGCGUAGGUGGCAGAUCAAGUCUGGAGUAAAAGGUAUGGGCUCAACCCGUACUGGCUCUGGAAACUGAUCAGCUAGAGAACAGAAGAGGACGGCGGAACUCCAUGUGUAGCGGUAAAAUGCGUAGAUAUAUGGAAGAACACCGGUGGCGAAGGCGGCCGUCUGGUCUGGAUACUGACACUGAAGCACGAAAGCGUGGGGAGCAAAUAGGAUUAGAUACCCUAGUAGUCCACGCCGUAAACGAUGAGAACUAGGUGUUGGGGGAAUAACUCAGUGCCGCAGUUAACGCAGUAAGUUCUCCGCCUGGGGAGUAUGCACGCAAGUGUGAAACUCAAAGGAAUUGACGGGGGCCCGCACAAGCGGUGGAGUAUGUGGUUUAAUUCGAAGCAACGCGAAGAACCUUACCAGGCCUUGACAUCCCUUGCAGAGGUAUAGAGAUAUAUCCGAGGUUAUCAAGGAGACAGGUGGUGCAUGUUUGUCGUCAGCUCGUGUCGUGAGAUGUUGGGUUAAGUCCCGCAACGAGCGCAACCCUUAUUGUUAGUUGCUACCAUUUAGUUGAGCACUCUAGCGAGACUGCCCGGGUUAACCGGGAGGAAGGUGGGGAUGACGUCAAAUCAUCAUGCCCCUUAUGUCUAGGGCUACACACGUGCUACAAUGGCAAGUACAAAGAGAAGCAAGACCGCGAGGUGGAGCAAAACUCAAAAACUUGUCUCAGUUCGGAUUGUAGGCUGAAACUCGCCUACAUGAAGCUGGUGUUGCUAGUAAUCGCGAAUCAGCAUGUCGCGGUGAAUACGUUCCCGGGCCUUG